rnacentral:rRNA from 1 species
GAGAGGAGGUGCAUGGCCGUGUCAGUUCGUACUGUGAAGCAUCCUGUUAAGUCAGGCAACGAGCGAGACCCACGCCAACAGUUGCCAGUCUCGUCCUCCGGGAUGGUGGGGACACUGUUGGGACCGCUCUGCUAAAGAGGAGGAAGGAAUGGGGCAACGGUAGGUCAGCAUGCCCCGAACUUUAUCUGGGCUACACGCGGGCUACAAUGGGUGGGACAAUGGGUAUCGACACCGAAAGGUGAAGGCAAUCUCCUAAACCCAUACCGUAGUUCGGAUUGUGGGCUGCAACUCGCCCACAUGAAGCUGGAAUCUGUAGUAAUCGUGUCUCAAAAUGGCACGGUGAAUAUGUCCCUGCUCCUU